UCCUUUCUAUCUCUCCUUUCCUCCCUCUCUCCUUCCAUUAUUUACUUCCUUUCUAUAACGCCAUCCUUCCUUUCCUUCCUUUCUCCCUCCCUUAUUCGCCUCCUUUCUACCUCUCCUCUCUUUUCUUUCUCCUUCUUCUCCAAUUUCCUACUAAAACCGUAGCACCGUCACAUACAUAUACAGUUUUAGUUAGUGUUAGUGUUAGAGAAAUCGAUGUUUUUUGCAAUAGUUACCAGUCAGAAAUCGAAAAAAAAAAAAAGGUGUUCUGAGUACGAUAACAUGGUCAGCUGCUGAUCACGCCCACGCCUUCCGCAGUACGCAAUGGAAGACUUCGCAGCAUCGUUCGUAUAAGUCAGCAGUAGAAAACAAGAAGGGGAAAAAAUAGGCAAGGACCAGACCAGAGGGGACCAGCCCGCACCGCACCCCUCGCAGCAUGGCCAACUCGACCCAGCCAGCAACAACACAACACUGGCUCCCCCGCACCGCCGCCAAGCCUCUCCUCUUUCACGCCUGCCUUUGUCAAGCUUGCACUCUCCCUGUAACUGUAACACCCAAGACAGCACCAGGGCAGCGUGGGAUCAACAAGGAGGCAUUAGAAUCACUGAAAAUUAGCGGAUAUUCACUACCAUUCAACGACAAGUCUCUCCUCUUUCACGCCUGCCUUUGUCAAGCUUGCACUCUCCCUGUGACUGUAACACCCAAGACGCCAGGACACCACCAGGGCAGCGUGGAAUCAACAAGGAGGCAUUAGAAUCACUGAAAAUUAGCAGAUGUCCACUAACAUUCAACACCAAGUCUCUCCUCUUUCACGCCUGCCUUUGUCAAGCUUGCACUCUCCCUGUGACUGUAACACCCAAGACGCCAAGACAGCACCAGGGCAGCGUGGGACCAACAAGGAGGCAUUAGAAUCACUGAAAAUUAGCGGAUGUUCACUACCAUUCAACGACAAAUCUCUCCUCUUUCACGCCUGCCUUUGUCAAGCUUGCACUCUCCCUGUAACUGUAACACCCAAGACAGCACCAGGGCAGCGUGGGACCAACAAGGAGGCAUUAGAAUCACUGAAAAUUAGCGGAUGUUCACUAGCAUUCAACAAGUCUCUCCUCUUUCACGCCUGCCUUUGUCAAGCUUGCACUCUCCCUGUAACUGUAACACCCAAGACACCAAGACAGCACCAGGGCAGCGUGGGACCAACAAGCAAACAUCAAAACAACCGAAAAUUAGCAGCUGUCCACUACCAUUGAAAGCCAAGUCUCUCCUCUUUCACGCCUGCCUUUGUCAAGCUUACACUCUUAAUAAGUAAAUGUAACACACACUACGACGCCGAGACAGCACCAGGGCAGCGUGGGACCAGCGUGGAGGCAUUAGGAAUACCCAAAACCCAGGAGUAUAGGAUUAGGUUAGGUUAGGUUAGGUUAGGUUAGGUUAGGUUACUAUUUCCAAAGGGCAAAGCGGAGAUCAGUCGGGUUCUAAUGAGCGUUUUCUUAGGAGUAUACGGUUAGGUUAAGUUAGGUUGGGUUAAGUUACUAUUUCCAAAGGGCAAAACGGAGAUCAGUCGAGUUCUAAUGAGUGUUCUUUUUUCAGGAGUAUACGGUUAGGUUAAGUUAGGUUAGGUUACUGUUUCCAAAGAGCAAAAUGAAGAUCAAUCAAGUUCUAAUGAGCGUUCUUUUUUCAGGAGUAUACAGUUAGGUUAGGUUAAAUUAGGUUAGGUUACUGUUUCCAAAGGUCAAAAGGGAGAUCAGUCGAGUUCUAAUGAGUGUUCUUUUUUCAGGAGUAUACGGUUAGGUUAAGUUAGGUUAGGUUACUGUUUCCAAAGGUCAAAAGGGAGAUCAGUCGGGUUCUAAUGAGUGUUCUUUUUUCAGGAGAAUACGGUUAGGUUAAGUUAGGUUAGGUUACUACUUCCAAGGGCCAAAAGGAAGAUCAGUCGGGUUCUAGUGAUCGUUCUUUCAGGUUCAUGGUACAGAGGAAGGGUCAAACUACCACCACCUGGCCAAUCAAACUACCCACGGAAAUAAUACACUACUUCUAAAGGCCAAAGAGAUCAGUCGGGUUAUAAUGAGCGUUCUUUUAGGUUCAUGGUACAGAGGAAGGGUCAAACUACCACCACCUGGCCAAUCAAACUACCCACGGAAAUAAUACACUACUUCUAAAGGCCAAAAAAUGGAUCAGUCGGGUUCUAAUGAGCGUUCUUUCAGGUUCAUGGUACAGAGGAAGGGUCAAACUACCACUACCAGGGUCAUAUAACUACCCACGGAAAUGCUUAAACCCCUACGAAGGCCUUGUCAAAUAUGAGCUUGGACGCCGAAAUGUUUAAAAAUAUGACCCUUCACGUUCCCACCACCACCAGCAACAUCACCACAAACACCAGCAUCACACCAACAUCACCACAAACAUCACACCAACACCACCACCAGCAACAUACCAACACCAACACCAGCAUCACACCAAAACAACCACCAGCAUCACACCAAAACAACCACCAGCAUCACACCACCACCAGCAG